rnacentral:rRNA from 1 species
UGGGGAAUAUUGCACAAUGGGCGCAAGCCUGAUGCAGCGACGCCGCGUGAGGGAUGGAGGCCUUCUGGUUGUAAACCUCUUUCGCCAGUGAAGCAGGCCAUCUUCUUUGUGGUGUGGUUGACGGUAGCUGGAGAAGAGGCGCCGGCUAACUACGUGCCAGCAGCCGCGGUAAUACGUAGGGCGCGGGCGUUGUCCGGAAUUAUUGGGCGUAAAGAGCUCGUAGCCGGCUGGUCGCGGCUGUCAUGAAAUCCCCUGGCUUAACUGGGGGCUUGCGGUGGGUACGUGCGGGGUUGAGUGAGGACGGGGGGACUGGAAUGACUGGUGUAGCGGUGGAAUGCGCGGAUAUCAGGAGGAACACCGGUGGCGAAGGCGGGUCUCUGGGUCGUUACUGACGCUGACGAGCGAAAGCGUGUGGAGCGAACAGG